rnacentral:rRNA from 1 species
GAUUAACGCUAGCGGCAGGCAUAAUACAUGCAAGUUGAACGAGAUAAGUUUUAGCAAUAGAACUUUGAAAGUGGCGCACGGGUGCGUAACACGUAUGCAACCUACCUUUUACUGGGGAAUAGCCUCUCGAAAGAGAGAUUAAUACCCCAUAAUAUAUUGAUAAGGCAUCUUAUUAAUAUUAAAGUUACGGCGGUAAAAGAUGGGCCUGCGGCUGAUUAGGUAGUUGGUGAGGUAAUGGCUCACCAAGCCGACGAUCAGUAGGGGGUCUGAGAGGAUGGCCCCCCACACUGGUACUGAGACACGGACCAGACUCCUACGGGAGGAAGCAGUAGGGAAUAUUGGACAAUGGGCGCAAGCCUGUUCCAGCCAUGCCGCGUGCAGGAUGAAGGCCCUAUGGGUCGUAAACUGCUUUUGUACGGGAAGAAACCUCACUACGUGUAGUGAGUUGACGGUACCGUGAGAAUAAGGAUCGGCUAACUUCGUGCCAGCCGCCGCAGUAA